UUAACCUCGGAUCAGGUAGGAAUACCCGCUGAACUUAA
rnacentral:rRNA from 1 species